rnacentral:rRNA from 1 species
AGUGAACGCUGGCGGCAUGCCUAAUACAUGCAAGUCGAACGGCCGCACAGUAAGCUCUCGCUCUUACGGGUGGCGACUGACGGAUGGGUGACGCAUACAUCGCCUUCCUCUAUUACUGGGGGGACUACGUGGGACCACUUCCGAUAAUAGCUCAUAUGACCUACCGCUGAAAUCAAUGGUUCUUCGGACCUUUCGCGUCACAUUGAGACGGAGUCGGAUUAGCUAGUUGGCGGGGUAAAGGCUCACCAAGGCGACGAUGCGUAGCUGAUCUGAGAGGGUGAUCAGCCACACUGGAACUGAGACACGGUCCAGACUCCUACGGGAGGCAGCAGUAGGGAAUAUUGCGCAAUGGGCGCAAGCCUGAUGCAGCCAUGCCGCGUGGGUGAUGAAGGUCUUCGGGUUGUAAAACCCUGUUGUUGGGGAAGAAAAAAAGCGUAUGAAUCCCUGCCUGUUCUGACGGUACCCAAAGAGUAAGCACCGGCUAACUUCGUG